AACGAACGCUGGCGGCAUGCCUAACACAUGCAAGUCGAACGAGACCUUCGGGUCUAGUGGCGCACGGGUGCGUAACGCGUGGGAACCUGCCCUUAGGUUCGGAAUAACUCCCCGAAAGGGGUGCUAAUACCGGAUAAUGUCUUCGGACCAAAGAUUUAUCGCCUUUGGAUGGGCCCGCGUUGGAUUAGCUAGUUGGUAGGGUAAAAGCCUACCAAGGCGACGAUCCAUAGCUGGUCUGAGAGGAUGAUCAGCCACACUGGGACUGAGACACGGCCCAGACUCCUACGGGAGGCAGCAGUGGGGAAUAUUGGACAAUGGGCGAAAGCCUGAUCCAGCAAUGCCGCGUGAGUGAUGAAGGCCUUAGGGGUGUAAAGCUCUUUUACCCGGGAUGAUAAUGACAGUACCGGGAGAAUAAGCGCCGGCUAACUCCGUG
rnacentral:rRNA from 1 species